rnacentral:sRNA from 1 species
AUUUAGCUCUGAUCGAAGUGGAAAUCUUAUAAGCCGUCUCAUCCCAAAAGACGAGAGGGACAUAAGAUUGCAACGGAAAGUGGGACGAUAC